CACCAACCAGACCUCAGUGGCUACCGCCAGUGCCUCAAUGGCUGCCUCCAACCACACCUCAGUGACCACCACCACCACUUGGGUGUCCAUCAGCCAGGCUUCAGUGGCUGCCAACGCCUCCAUGAACCAUACAGAACAAACCCCGGUAAGGAGAGGGAAGGGGGAUGCUGGCCAUGCAGAAGCUCUGCUGCGCUGUGACCCCCUGGCGUGUCCUCCCCCCAGCUCAGCUGUCAGAGCUUCCAGUGCUCCGGGGAGAGGUGUUACCAGGAUGAGGCCCACAGCAACAUGACGACCACCUGCUACAAUGAGACCUUCUGCGAGCAUGAACUACACCGCCAGAUGCAGCAGCGUGUGCAGUGCAGAGCUGUGCAGGACCAAUGGCAGCGUGACCCUACAGCAGUGCACCAUGGAGUGCUGCAACACCUCCCUCUGCCUGCAGCUCAAUGCAAGCUCCUAUGGUAACUGCUCCAUGGUUUAUCCCGCUGCAUGCAACAGAAGUGGGUGUGCGGAUCCAUCAUGCUGGGCUGCAUCGCUGUGGUUCCUCUGCCCCAGCGUGUGGACAUGAAGGCUGCACAUGGGCUGUGUCCUCAGGGCUCCUCUGUGCCCACAGGUGAUCUUCCCCCCACCACCGUGCUGCCCACGACCACCAUCACCACCACCACCACCCCACGCCCCCCCCCACGAAAUGGGAAAAUCUGUGCAGCAUUCUCCUGCCAUGGGGAUGGAUGUUUCAAAGGCAAGAAGAGCACAGCUAGAUGCUUUGUUGGGCAUGAUUUCUGCGAGGUACGGCUGGGACAGGACAGGUGGGAUGUGCUGGAGUCUGCGUGCAUCCCCUCAAUGCAAAUGCCAGAGGCUGGGCAGGACCAGCAGGUCAAUCUGUCUCCUCCUUCCAGAUGAAGAAGACGGGCUUCAAUUACGUGGCAGGAUGCAGCAAAGCCUGCAAGGCUGCCAAGCCUGUCUGUGCCCGGGGGGUGAAGGCUGCCUGCUUCCAGGAGUGCUGCCCCGCCACCCCCAAGGGCAGCUGCUUAAAGCUGGAUGGCAAAGUUCAUGUGAAUGGUGCUGGGCAGGUGGCUGUGUCCUCGCUGCUGCAGCUCCUGGCAUGUGGGGCAGCCCUCCUCUUGAGCCAAAGGGCCUCCACUCCCCUCCAUGGGUGAUCCCCGCUACACAUCAAGCCUCUGUGCUGCAGGGAUGGCAGAUGCUGGAAGGAGAGACCUCAGGUGUAGGAGCGAGAGGAUGCUGAGCCAGCUCGGAACCCAGGAAC
ensembl:lncRNA